UUUAUUUACACACCAUAAAUACUCAAAUAACAAUUUGUUAUUUGUUAUAUAAUAUGAAACAUGUCUCAAAAUGAUGAUGACAAAAAUAAUGGCAAAUUGCUAUUUGGGUAGUCAUAUAAAAUAAGCAAAAAUAAAGUACUAAUAAGUAAAAAUAUUAAUAUUACUUCGAAAAUAAUAUGCUUCAUUAUUUUGUAGCUUUUAACAAAGAAUGGAACUUGAAAAAGAUGGACACAAUAGUUUUAAAUACUUGCAAGAUAAUUUGGAGUUGACUACACUUCCUUCUACAAAAUGGAGUUAUUCAAAAGGAAAUGAAAUGUUUUUUGGUUUCCAAAAGGCUGAACAUCUCAUUUUCUGUCCUCUGUAGCGGUUUAUAAUUACAAAUCCUUGACAAUUUGUAACUCUGUAAUAGAAAUUAAUAUCUUUUAUCUAAAGAAUAUUUUAUGUUCAAUACACUAUAAUUCAACAAGAAAACUUCCUACAAAAUUACUUUUAUAGUAAAUUGUAAUAAAAUUUUAGUAUUUUUUAAUAUAAACAAUAACUUUAAUAAAAAUAAAAUUUUAUAUACCAAA